GCAAAGAAGCUUGAGUGACGGGCAUAUUGGCGAAUAGCCUGGCUUUGUUUUCAUGGGGCGUGGUUUUAAGAACACUGUUUACUUCCUGAUCGCGUCUGUCAAAAAAUGGCCUCUCUUGACAGGGUAAAAGUGUUGGUUUUGGGAGAUUCCGGGGUUGGCAAGUCUUCCUUGGUCCAUCUGCUAUGUCAGAAUCAAGUUUUGGGAAAUCCAUCGUGGACUGUUGGCUGCUCUGUAGAUGUGCGGGUUCAAGACUAUAAGGAGGGAACCCCAGAGGAGAAAACCUUCUACAUUGAACUCUGGGAUGUUGGAGGAUCCGUUGGCAGCGCCAGCAGCGUCAAAAGCACCAGAGCAGUCUUCUACAACUCGGUUAACGGAAUUAUAUUGGUCCACGAUCUGACCAAUAAGAAGUCCUCUCAGAAUCUGUACCGCUGGUCACUGGAAGCUUUGAAUAAGGAUUCCUCUCCAACUGGAGUCAUCGUCUCAAACGGUGACUAUGACAGAGAGCAGUUUGCAGAGAAUCCGGUGCCUUUGCUGUUGAUUGGAACCAAGUUUGACCAAAUUCCAGAAAACAAGCGCAGUGAAGUUCUCACUCGGACGGCUUUCUUGUCUGAAGACUUCAAUGCAGAAGAAAUCAAUCUUGACUGCACCAACCCCAGAUACCUGGCUGCAGGCACCUCAAACGCUGUGAAGCUCAGCAGGUUCUUUGACAAGGUAAUAGAGAAAAGAUAUUUCACCAGAGAUCCCAGUCAGAUGACUGGCUUCACAGACAGAAAACGGUUCAACUUCAAAAGUUUGCACUAUGACUGAGACCUGUGAUCAGACCCCGCCCACUCAGACACGCGCUGGAAGUGAAUCUAGAAAAGUUUGUAAAAGCUGGAAAUGACAUUUGAAGAAGAUGCUGAGGACAGAGAAUGAAGAGGCAUCAUUCCUGUGCUCCUCCAUUGUUUGCUUGAUCCACGGGAUGAAGGAACUGACUUUAGUGAAGACAUGCGGGUACCUUGGAUCAUUACAGUCGUUUGAUGAGGUAUAAGCUGUUAUGCCUUGAGGCUUUGUGUUGCAGAUAAGUGGUCCACCAGAGUCUCCCUACAAAGAAAGACUGAUUGAGCGAUCUGUGUAAAGGUUGCACAUUUUUGUCAUGAAUAAAAAACUAAACCUGUA